rnacentral:piRNA from 1 species
UGAGUGCCUGUUGUGCAAAUCCUUAUCAGU